ensembl:lncRNA
GGCGCCGUGGGCGGCGGCGGGGACAGCUGUGAAGUGUGAAGUUCCUUGUCUGCUGGCAGCCGGAGGCGACGAGUCUGGAUGUCAUGGAAGUGUAAGAGUUGAAGACAUUUGCAAGAAUGCAACAUCAAGACAAGCUUUAACUAUACUCUGCUGAUUGAUACAAAAUAGGAUGAAAAACCAUUGGAUCCUGGGACAUGAGGAACUUGUUUAGCACAACCGGUGUUAUGUGUACCACAGUUUUAACCAUUAGGCCAUUUCCACUGUAGCUUAGAGAAAAGAACCAGAGGACUGCCUUGGUAGAGCUGGACGUGCUGCUAUAAGACGGCCUCGCUGUACAGCCCUCAAACGUGAGGACUUCUUUCUCCAUAGGUACCAGAUGGCCAAUCAGUGCUUUCUAGAGUUCUUUAACUACUUCAGAAUACAAGAAUAGUACAUCCAUACUCCAACAGCCAUUGAAAGAUUCACAUUCAUGGGAAAACACAAGUCUUGAUGAAAUCUUGAGUUAAGCUAUCUUUUAAGAAACUGGUUGAAACUGGUGAAAAGUUCAUUACAAUUCAGGCUUGAUACCUGCCUCGGGCCAGAAGACCUACGUUGCAUCAAUUCUGAGUCAGUGGAAGCUACAGAAUUGUUGCUGACCCUACACAUUUGAAUUUACAGAGCAGAGCCUGUCCCCUCCCUUCAAAGAGAAGGCAAAUAAAGCACUCAAGAGGUACUGGUCUCAUUGACUGUUUUUAACAUAAAAUGAUUAAUCAGAUUGGAAGCAAAAACAUUACUGCUGCUUCCCAACCGGAGGAGUGAAAUGAUCACACAGGACCCUUCUGCAGAGUGCGGGUUUUCUACCUGACGGUGAAGACGGGAGGGCAGGACACUUCUGCCCAAGGUCAACACACAAAAUAUUUGGUUUGAGAUUUAAGACAGAAGGCACUUUUAACAUUCUGAUAUCAGAUGUUAACCAUACAAACGUCCUGUCACAAUUUCAUUUGGGUUUACUUGAAUCCCCUUCCAAAAUUCUUCUUACUGCAUGUGUGUCAUUAUGAGAGCAGUGGCGACACGACCAGAUUUAGCCUUGAGAUGUGUCUACCUGUUCCUAUUCUCCCAUGAAGCAAACUGCGCAGCAUGUCAGCCCUGAAGGUUACAAAUCCAGUAUUUGACUGCAAAACAACUAAAUUAGACAUCCGAGUGGUUAGUGCAGAAACAGUGAGCAAGAACACUGGCUCCCACGCUGGAGCGACAGGGCUUAGACUGGUCUUUUCCAUCAUAAUACUGUUUGGUUGACUGGUACCAACGUUAAGGAAAAAUAUCUGCAUGAAAAUUCAACUGGUGGAAGAAUCUUUACCUAAUAAUGCCAGGCUUAUAUUUCCAGCUUUUCUCCAAAGAAAAAAUACCCAUUUUUGGUCGGGUGUGGUGGCUCACACCUGUAAUCCCAGCAGGCCGAGGCAGGCAGAUCACGAGGUCAGGAGAUUGAUACCCUGGUGAAACCCCAUCUCUACUAAAAAUACAAAAAAAAUAGCGGGCGCGGUGGUGGGCACGUGUAGUUGCAACUACUUGGGAGGCUGAGGCAGGAGAGUGGCGUGAACCCGGGAGGCGGAGCUUGCAGUGAGCCAAGAUGGCACCACUGGGCUCCAGCCUGGGUGACAGCGAGACUCCGUCUCAAAGAAAAAAAAAAAAACGAUUUUCGCAUCCUUAGUGUCCUGAAGGCCUUGAACUUGAAGGUCUGGCCACAUGACUCAUUCUGUAAGGUUAACAAUUGGUCCAGUUUUAUGACUGGACACAAUCUGGACUUGAACGUUCCAAUUCAAUUUCUUCCUUUCAGAAGAGGGAGAUGAAAGGGAACCAACCACCCUAUUAUUAUUUUUUUCACCCUAUUAUUUGCUGCAACAACAGCGGCCAGUACUUUCCACAAGAUGCUGUGUAUAGGCUAUUUUCACUAUCUCCUCAGUCAAUGCUGAACUGACAGUUCUUCAGUGCUACACUCCAACUAAACUGUACAGUAAGUUCUGCAGAAAUGGAUCUAAUAUUUCUAUCUUUACAAAUAUCACAUAAACGGAUUCUAGUUGAAUCUACAUGUUUAAAUCCAUUGGCUAAAAACAUACUACAUAUUGUAAACAUGGCAAUAUUUAAUACAGUAUCUAUUCUAGAAUAUUUUCAUGUUAUGAUCACAUUUGUUAUACCUGAAAUUGAAUUUAUGCACAUUAAAGAAUUACUAGC